rnacentral:rRNA from 1 species
ACGAACGCUGGCGGCGUGCCUAAUACACGCCCCUUGAAGGCUGAAGAGAGGAGCUUGUUCUUCUUGGAAGACUCCCUAACGGGUGAGUAACGCGUAGGUAACCUGCCUUGUAGCGGGGGAUAACUAUUGGAAACGAUAGCUAAUACCGCAUAACCAUGGGUGACCCAUGUCAUUCAUUUGAAAGGGGCAACUGCUCCACUACAAGAUGGACCUGCGUUGUAUUAGCUAGUAGGUGAGGUAACGGCUCACCUAGGCGACGAUACAUAGCCGACCUGAGAGGGUGAUCGGCCACACUGGGACUGAGACACGGCCCAGACUCCUACGGGAGGCAGCAGUAGGGAAUCUUCGGCAAUGGGGGCAACCCUGACCGAGCAACGCCGCGUGAGUGAAGAAGGUUUUCGGAUCGUAAAGCUCUGUUGUAAGUCAAGAACGAGUGUGAGAGUGGAAAGUUCACACUGUGACGGUAGCUUACCCAGAAAGGGACGGCUAACUACGUGCCAGCAGCCGCGGUAAUACGUAGGUCCCGAGCGUUGUCCGGAUUUAUUGG